UAUUUUAGUAUUUUCCAAUGUCUAUGGAGGUUAGUCCUACGGCUUUGGAGGGGUCGUGUGGAGUUGUAAAUGGGAGUGUCUGUGUGGUUGGUGAUGAGUCAGUGAUGAUUGACAAUAAUGUCGAAGAGAAUGAAAAUCCGGCGAAUUUAGUAGAGGAUUUUGAUUCAUAUUGGGAUGAUAUCAAUGACCGUUUAACUAUUUCAAGGAUGGUUAGUGAUUCAGUCAUCAAAGGCAUGGUGAAUGCAAUUGAACAGGAGGCAGCUGAGAAGAUUGCCGAGAAAGAACUUGAGUUGGUUAGAUUGAGGGAAUCAUUGCAUCUUUACCAUGUGGGUGCAGAAGAAAGUGAACCCUUUCAGUCUCUGGUCAUGAAGCAUGAGUCAGGAAGUGUAAAACAUGGAUCAUAUUCAAGUUUAUCUCUGCUCAUCAUCAUCCUUUUUCUCGCCUCUUUUUUUGCGCUUUUUAUCUUUCACUUUACCCCAUUUGUUUUCAAUACUCUCCACCUUUCGAAAAAUGGCCUCACUAUUCAAUGGUUUCGGAGGAGGCUCUCUUUCAUGUUUAUUAUUAAAAGGUUUCUUUUGAGUUCGAAAGGGAUGAUCAUGAGGAAGCCAACGGCGAUGGCCAAUAUAAGUAUUUUUUUUUACUGUGUUUAAGUCUACAUUUUGGCAUAUCUUCACCGCAAUAAGGACAAGCAUAAUAACCCUUAACUGUACAACCCGCCAAAUUCCCAUAAGCGGGAAAGUCAUUUAUAGUCCACAAUAGUACAGCCCGUAAAUUGAAGAACUCUUUUUUGUAGGCAUCAUAAGCUUCCACACCAACAUCCCAUAGAGUUUGCAAGUCCUCUAUUAGUGGUGCCAAGUACACAUCAAUAUCAUUACUGGGCUGUUGUGGACCAGAAAUUAAUAAGGAUAACAUCAUAAAUUUUCGUUUCAUACACAACCAGGGUGGAAGAUUGUAUGUUACAAGAAGAAUGGGCCAGCAACUAUACGUACUACUAAGAGAGCUAUGAGGAUUAAUGCCAUCAGCUGAUAGGGCAAGACGCAGAUUUCUAGGCUCUAAAGCAAAGGUAGGCCAUUUUUCAUCAACUAACUUCCAUGCCGGUGAGUCAGCUGGAUGUCGAAGCUUACCAUCUAUUUCCCUCUCAUUUAUAUGCCAAGUCAAGUCUUUGGCAGUUUGUGAGGACUGAAACAAACGCCUAAAUCUAGGUAUAGGAGGGAAAUACCAUAACACUUUUGUAGGAACCCCCUUCCUAUAAGCAGCAACACUACCAUCUCUUUUCUUCCACCUAGAUUCACCGCAUGUAGGACAAUUAGAAAGGCUUUCAUACUCCUUUCUAUAGAGUAUACAAUCAUUUGGACAUGCAUGAAUUUUGAUAUACUCUAAGCCUAAAGCACUCAUUGUCUUUUUGGCUUCAUACAUUGAUAAAACAAAUCUGAAAAGCUACUAUUAGACCACCCAUAUCUGCCCUUUAUAUUGUACAAUUUAACUAAAGCUGAUAACUUGGUAAAUUUGUUUGAUCCAGGGUACAAAGGCUUCUCAGAAUCUUCUAAUAGUUUUUUCAAUGCUUUAGGAUCACUAUCACAAUCCUUAAAAGCAUCUUCAACCAUUUCAACAGUAUUACCACCAUCAUAAUCCAUAUAUCCACUGUCAUUUUGGCAACCUAUAUUGUCAGGAGAUUUGUUACGGAUAUCUUCCCCAUGCCAAACCCAUGUUUUGUAUGACAUAUCAAGACCCCAUAUAAUUAAAUGAUCUUUCACUUCUUUAGGCCUAUGAAAUGCUAAAUUUCGACAUUUAUCACAUGGACACCUAACAACACUAAUUUCUUGAUUACUUUCAACUGCAGUCUUAAUAAAUUUUUCCACACCAGCCUCAUACUCAUCGGACAAUCUAUCAUAUUUAAGCCAAGAUUUAUCCAUUUUUUGUCUAGUACCUAACAUAUAAUUGAGAUAAAUUUCAACACAAUGUACUAAUGGGCAGCAAUGAUAAACGGUUUCCAUUAUCAAUAAAUUAAGCAACAAAACAUUAUUAAUAUUCAAUUUAUAAAUUCAAUGAAAUAAAUAAGUUUAAAAAAAAACUUGUCAUCAUGUGCAACAAAUGUAACUUUACCAACAUGCUAUCAUCAUUGACCAAAACCACCGACUAACCAUACCCAACUAAUAAUAUCCUAAAUAACUUGGCCCACAUACAUUUAACAUUUAUUUAAAAAACAAUUCUAGCAAUCCAGCAUUUCAUGGACCACAAGACUAUAUAUAUAUAACCAACUAAACAUUACUUGGUCCACAUGACCAAACUUGCCCCCACAUGGUACCAUUUCCUUCAAACAUAAAAAAGACAAUUGAAAAGGGGGCCUUACUUUUUAACUCAAUAAAUUACACAAAAUCUAGCUCACAAUCAUUAAAGAAAAUGUCAACACCAUUGGACCACAGUUUCGGAUUCAUCCCAACAAAAGACACUAGUAAAUGAAAAGUACUAUAUCAUCAACCAAAAUCACUUCACACACAUGCAAGCUCUGACUAAAAAUUUACAGAAUAUAACAAUAUUCAUACAAACCAUUGGCAGCAAACAUUUUUCAAACAUUGAACGGAAAGGCAAGUAAAAAAUUGAACAAACCUGAUGUUAGAAAUCGAGUUUGAAAGGGAACAGGGCAGUGAAAUCCUGCGAUUCAGAACAAAUUUUUUUUUUUAAAAAAAAAAAGAAGAGGACAUGCUAAAUUAAAUGAUUGAGCAAUUUCUAGAUUUAACAGAAGGACAAAGUAUAAGCUUCUUGAAUUAAAAAAUAAACAAAAAAUAUAACAAUAGAAACAAACGAGAAUUAAAAAGUAAUAAUAAAGAUAAACCUAGGGCAUAAAUUAUGAACAAAUAAGGGAAAUAACAACAAAACUAACAAUUAAUUUUAUAAUGACCAAUUAAUUUAUUCUGAAUAAAAUUUAAAAAAGUUAAUUGAUGACAAACCUAGGGAUUCAGCGAUUACAGGAUGGCUUCUCCAACGCCGAUUGAACAAUACAAAGAAAUAGUGACACCGACGGCUUCAAUAAUGGACGCGAAGGCGCAACAAUGAGCAUAUGUGGUGAUUUUGUUCCUAAAAACAAUGGGUUCGAAAUAAUGGGGGUUAAAGAUAAUGGGGGUUCAAAAUAAGGACGGGAAGGCUCCUUCAAUAGCAUAAACUAUGAUUUCGGUUUCCAUGCAACGGAUUUCAAAACCAAUUUGCAGAUUAAAAUAUGUUAAUAAACGGAUUUUGAGGGGUUUCACUGCUUUGGUUUCUCAGCCCUUGCUGAUGGAGUGAUGGGUCAAAGGUGCCAACACUUAGAAUUUUUUUUAUGUUUGUGGUUUACAAUAUACUGAAAUGAUAGCGUUUAAAUGUUAAAUAAAUAUUUUUAUUUUAAAAAUGUUUUAAAUCUGUAAAACGGUGUCCUUUUAUGUCCAAAUUAAUUCCACUCGAAACCCACGGUUUGAUUAAAUAUUAAUACGCUAUCAUGUUUAUCUGAUAUAUAAAAAAUCUAUCAGAAAUCUGUCAUGAAUUUAUGAUGUACGAAAAUUCUAUCAUAUGUCUAUCAUAUUCUUAUGAUAAAUGACUAAUUUUCUAAUAUCUAUCACAAAAAUUCUGUCAUGGUAGCCUAUUUUUCUAGUAGUGUAUUAUUUUUAUUUCUCUUAAUUGGAGAUUUUGGUUUAUGUCCCCCUCCAAAUGUAUUUUCUUUAUCUGUUCUAAAUGACCGGUAGGAGUCCCGCCUAACCCCCCAUAGAGUGAAAAAAAAAUUGGUUAAAUAAUAACUUGUAAUAGAAACUUUAGAAGUGCGUGGUGACUUAUCUUAUAUGCUACAUUUAAAAAGCAACCUGCAUAUAUUUUUAAAAAAACAAAUAUCAAAAUAAAUAAACUUAUGAAAUAAACACCACAACAGAAAUGGCUUUUUGCAACAAAAAGAUUUUGUUGCCUAAAGUGCUAAUUUUGUUGCCAUAGGUUAUUGCUACAAAAACAAGCUUGUCGGCCCGGUCGUCGGCCUAGCACUGUCGCCCUCUAUGUUUAACAACAUAUCAAAACAUUUCUCGCCUCAAACUUCCUUUUGCAACAAAACAGAUUCGUUGUAAAGGAGUCUUCAACUUGUUUAGAGAAUAAUUUGGCAACAAACAUUUUUGUUGCGCUAAACAGUUUUACACAACAAAAUUAUUUUGUUUUUAUAUAGUUAUUUACUACAAAACGAAUUUGUUGCUAAGAAAUAAAGUACAUUUUAUAAAAAAAAAACGUGUACCAACAAAGGUGUUUGUUAGCUAAGAUCAUUUUAGGCAACAAAACUACUUUGUUUCUUUAUGUUGAAAAUUUUACAAAUUUGCAAUAAAUAUUUAAAUAUUUUUAGAAACAAAUCAAUUUUUUCAUUAAAAAGUACUACAAUUUUUUUUAAUAAUAUCAUGGUAUAAAAGGAAGCAAACCAAGUUCGUUGGGAAAGAUACCAAUUUUUCCCCUACCAUGACAAUAAUAAACUAGAAAUAUAUGUUGAGAAAUCUAACAAAAAAAUCAUUAAUGUCAUUGAACUAAUUUAAAAGUUAAAGGCCCAUUCAGUAUCCAAGCUAUACUUUAAGAAUCACAUAUGAUCCCAAAAAUGUAAUGAGCAAAAAUUAUAAACGAUCUCUAAUUACAACUACUCCAAACUCCAAAUACUUAAAGAUAUGACAUGCACCAGCAGUAACCAAAAAGAUCAAGUGAUGACCAAUUCAAAAUACUAACAAGUUCAAGAUACUCUAAGGACAUCAUUGAAAUGAGUAAUCAUUAAGUAGCUGAAUCUGUAAAGCGAAAAGCGGAUCCUUGAGAAGAAAAAAAUUGCUGCAUCAUACCCUCAAAUUGGGACAAUAUGGACUCCAAUUGAUCAAUAGUCUUCUUUUGCUCUUGAAGCUCAACAUCUUGUGAAUCCAAUCUACUUUGUUGUGAAGAUAUAAUACCAUGCAAUCUGUCAACCUCAGAAGUAUCAAAACCAUGGUUUGAAGUUGGGCGUGGUCCGUUGCCAAGUUCUCGAAAAUAGCCUGAUUUCUUUCCAAGCACUUCAAUGCAUAUUUCCCUUUGAGUUAGUGGUUUUGCUUCUUCAGUAUGUAGGUGAUAAGAAAUAAUAAAAUUAAAAAUUUUGUUUCCAACAAAGCAUCUUACAUGGUUUAAGUGUGCCACCUCAUUCACCCAACCUUUUGUCUUGCUGAAAUGAGUGACGCGAAAUAAUUCUAUUUCACCAUCAACCAUGUCAUCCUCAAGAUAAUUAACAAAAGGUUUUGAUCCCCCACAAUGAACAUAUGGGAGCUUAGCACGAUUAGCUUUGUUUUUGGUAGAUUGAGUCUACAUUAAAAAAAUAUAACAAUGGAAAAUAAGAUACAUAUACAAGCAUAUUGACAACUAGUUGGACAAUUUAAAGUUCAUAAUAUGAAUAUCAUUGGACCGGGAAACUUGUGGAAUUGUAAAUGUUAUGACAAAGCCAAGCCCAAUCAUCUGGACAUAUGAUUGGAUACGAAUGCUUAAGUGCCUCUUCAAAGGAUGGAUAAUCCAAGUAAUGAUCAUACAUCCAAUGUCUCAUAUCACGAUAUGUCCCACCUAUAAUGUUAUUCACACAUCGACGAACAUGUGGUAAGUUCAAAUCAAUCUCAAACUUUGACUGAAUUUAGGAAAAAAAAGAUAUCUCAGUUUAUAAUUUAAAAAAAUGACAGAUGAAGAAUAUUAAUAAUCAUAAGUACUUACUAAUAGUUGAUCAAACAAAACCUACCAAUUAAACUCUUUAAAUACCAAAUUCUAGAGUUGUAACAACACCUUGUACAAACUCUUGGCUGGGCAUAACAGGCUGAGAUUGGGGAAUUGUAGAUGCGACAACAAUUUCUGCUCUUACACGUUUGGUAACUAUGUCCAGGACCCAUCUAGUAAUUAUUAAAAAUAUACAUUAGAGUUUAUUAAUGAUCAACAUAAAAAUAAAUCAAGAUAACUAUAAUUUUGUCAAAGAAAUUAUAACAUGAAAGAUCCUAUUACUGGGCAUAGAUCCUACAUUCAUUUGACUAUUGUCCACAAACUCAGGUUCUUCACCAUGAAAAACCCAUGAAAAAUCCAUUAACUUUAAUUUAACAAAUUAAAAAUUGAAACAAAGACCCACUUAAUAAAUAAUUAAAGCAAAACCCACUAAACAAAAUCAAACUCAACAGGCCAAUAUAUAAAAUAAAACUAAAUUUACUUGAAGAAAUCGUUGUCUUGAGUGGUGCCUUCCAAGUACCACUCUUCAAUGGCUGGCAGGGCAAAAGAAACAAGCAAAGAGUAAAGUGGAAAUAUUCUAGAAGCAAUAUUUUAAUUAAGAAAAAAUUGGAGAUGGAAACUUUACUUCGGUUAGCACGCGGUUUAUUAAAUAAAGGGCGCGGAAAUAAAAAAUUAAAAAGCCUCCCACAAAGUCAUGUUUGCUUUUAUAUUAUCUUUAUAUUUUCAUUUAUUAAUUUAAUAUUUUUGUUAACCUUUGCGCAACAAAAUUAAUCUCGUUGCAAAAAACUCUGAGAGUACAAAACAAAUUUUCUCGCUAAUCACAACCUUUUGCAAUAUUUCAUUUCAAAGCGUAGGGCAAGAAAAUAUUUUGUUGCCAUAUAUUCUAAUUUUCUUGGCUAAUCACAACUUUUUGCAAUAACAAAAUCUGUUUAGCUAUAGUGAUAAAGACUAAUUUUUGUUGCAAGAUAUGAAUUUUAGCAAUAAAGUAAGUUUUGUUGCAAUAGAAUUUGUAGCCAAUACUCUAUUUUCUUGUGGUGAAACAAAUUUUAAAAGAUUUAUCCAAAAAACGUUUGUUAUAUAUAUAUAUAUAUUUGGUGCUUCAAUUGAAAUCUCCAGUGAGACCUUAGAAAGGAGCUCAAAGAAAAAAAAUAAUUUUCCAAUGUGUUUCAAAGAUGUGUAAACAAAUAGUGUGUUUAAAGUAUAUCAUAUGUUGUACAUUUCUCAAUAUUUCUCCAUUUCAAUUGACGUAAUUAUCUUUUAUUAAAAAAAUGAAAGAACAUUGGAAAUAGAAAAACGGCAGCAACUAAUCGUGCGUUUUGGAUCCAAACUCACUCGAUAGGAACUUAUAACACCUGUUUUAACACCGAAAAGGAAUUGGAAGAUGCGGUUAUAAUUCACAUUACUUGAGUGCAUUGUGGCCAAAUCGCUUGUCAAUUCCGUUGCUGUUACAUCAUUAAUCAACUGCCCUUCAUUUUUAUAUCUCAUACAGCCAAUUGAACAGUGAAAACGAAAUUUGAACAACCGAUAUUCUACCGGUUGUAAAUAUUAUCUAUGUUUGUUUAAUUAAUAUUUGUACCAAAAAAAAUAUAAAAAGAGAGAGAAAAUUUAAUUAUGAAAUAGCUAUUUAAUAAUGCAAAGUUCUUACUUACCAUGGAAACUUGUAGUCUCUCUAAAGAAGCCCCCGCUAAUAUUAUGUUCUUAAUUAAACAAAAAAAAAUCGACUAAAAGGCUCUAUAACUCGUUCAUUUGAACCUCUUAAAUAUCUCUUGAAAUGAAGUAGCAGUGGAAGCUAAAGUGUAUCUGAGAAGUCACAGUUUAACUUUGUAAAAUUAGAUGAAGGGAACAAGUGCAAGAACAGUAAAUAUUUUGAACAAAUUGGAUGACAUAAAAGAGAGAGAAAUUAAAACAAUUAUGUGGACACCUGUCCAACCAAAAGCGAGAGAGUGAGUCAAUAGCGCUCCUCUAAUUGGUCAGUUCGUACUAGAAUUCGUAUAGUAGUGUAGCAGUUGUUUUCACUUGUCGUGUCGCUAAAUUAUUGAAAUACGCACGUGGAGAAAUUCAUCACAGGAAAGAGAUAAAAUGUUGCUUUGCAACAAGAUGACAUUCACCACAUAUAAUGUGUGUGGUGAGUAGUCUCUCCUCUAAUACGUGCAUCCAGCUUCACAAGAUGAGGGGAUUCUGCAAUUCUAGCCCAAGUUUCCGAUGGUAAUGUGGACGAACAAAAACCAUCAGUUUACAGCUCCAAAAUAAAAAUAUUUUUUAACACUUAUCUCCCCCAUUAUUCAAAUUCAAGUGCCUGAAAAUCGCUAAAUCAGGCUCUUGAGGCUAAAAUAUCAAGCUUGAUAUAUACAUGAUUUUGAGUAAUCGGAAGUUGAUUUAUAUUUAUAUUUAUACAUAAAAAGUAAUUUUUCAAUAAGGAUCUCUUAUUUUAUAAGCUAAAAAAAAGGAAAAUAUACAUUUCAAUAUAUAUAUUUUAUAUUGUCCUAUAAUAUAUCAGAUUUCGUAUCUUUUUUUUUUAAUUGAUCCCUUAUUUAACAAAAUAAGAGACUAUAAUGAUUCUAUAUGUAUUUUAAAGGAUUAAUAACAAAUGAAAUUAAUUGUUAGUUAUAUAAUCAAGUUUCAAUUUACACGUAAUGGACUUCAUAAACUGUCAGAUAAGAAAAUUCAUUUAGAAAUGAGAAGAGAGAGGAUUAAGAAAUAAAAGGAGACCUGGGUAAAUUAAAAAAAAAAAAAAAGGAAGAAGAAAAAAAAGAAGAAGAAGGGGAGAAUGAGGACAAAGAAACCUUUUGAUUUUACUACCAAGCGUCUAUUAAUCCCUUUAAAAGAAGUAAAGGUUCAUGUCAUUGGAUCCUCAAAUGGGAGGGAGAUCUUGCAAUGUGUGGCUAUAAAAGAAUUAAGCUGCUGUUUGUUUCUCAGUUUUUAACUUUUAAUUUUUCAGAAAUUUAUUUAUUUUGAGUUACUUGUUUUCUUAAUUUAUCAUGCCACAAUUUUAUUCUAAUAGAAAAAGUAAAAAAAAAAUCUACAUUUAUCUUAAAUCUGAAAUCUAAAUAAAAAAUUUUAAUUUUAAAUCUCAAAAAUACCCUAAAUAAUUUAUGUAUUAACUAUAUUGUGUAUAAAACCUAAUAUUUUUUUAUUCUUAAAUUUAUUUUUUAAUUACUUUAAAUUUUUAUUCACAAGGUGACAAUAUAAAACCAAAAUAUUGAAUAAAUCGUAUUAUAUUCAUUGUGAAGAAUCGAAACUAAAAUAACAGUGUUGACUUAAUAAUAAAAUGUUGAUAUUAUAAUAAUAUCUUUUAUUGCAAAAUUAAAUUAAGAAACAACGAUAGUACUAUUUUUUUUUAUGUACUAUUUUUUUUAUAUACUAUCAAACUAGUUCUAAAUUUAAAUAAAUAUAUACACUACUUAAAACAAUAUUUAUGUAAAACUACUAGUUUUUAAAUUUUCUUAUUUAGACGUUGUUAAAAAAUAUAUAUUAUUUAGACAAUUUCAUUUAACCUAUCCAGAUUUCAACUAAAUUCAGAAAUAUUUUUUUCAAACAAAAAUCAAACGCAACCAAGUCAAUAAAAUGCACGAGAAUUAUGGCAUCAUUGAAGCACAAGAAGCUACAGCAAAGAAACAACAACUCAAUUUGUAGCAACCUUAAAUGCCUUUAGCAAGCAAUAGAAAUUAAGGACAUGUCGUUUCCGGUUUCAGCCUCUCCUAAUAAAGUUAUCCGAAUAAAUGCAGAGAAAGAAUCUACUCGUCGUUCGGCAAAUUUUGAUCCUACCAUUUGGGGGGAUUAUUUCCUUUCAUAUACUGGUGACUUCAAGGUAAAAUGACUCUUUAGUAGUACUCUACUCUAAAGCAACUUAAUACUAGUAUUGCAUAUUUACGUUAAUUACGUAUAGUUUUCUUCCUCUGUAGAUAGCUUCAUCUCUAAAUUUAAUUUCUUCCUCAGGAAAGUGGUGAUGCUAGCGUGAAGCAUCAAGAGCUGAAGAAAGAAAUUAGAACGAUGCUAAGAGCUGAUAUCAACAAGCCUUCGCAGACUAAACUGGAUUUGAUUGAUGACAUUCAGCGUUUAGGAGUGUCUUAUCAUUUUGAAAGUGAGAUUGAUGAAAUCUUGCAAAAAAUGCAUGAGGCUAACCAAGAUUGUGAUCUUGGCGAUGAUGAAAAUGUUCAGGAGCUCUAUUAUAUCUCUCUUCAGUUUCGAUUACUUAGACAAAAUGGCUAUAAAAUUUCUGCUGGUAAGUCUUUUUUCUCACCAAUUACUCUUGUUCAAUAUCUUGUACUUCUCAAAAAUAUGAAAAAACAAAAUCUUGCAAAAUGUUUUCAUCUUCAUCCUUUAUCUAAUUUUUGGGAACUGAAGUUGCAGCUCCUGUGUAUAUGUGUUAUGUCACUUAAUUUCACUUGCCUUUAUCGAUAUUUUAGUAGCGGAUGGUAUUUGUAGGUACUCAAAUAAAGAAAACUGGAAAAGAGAAUGAGUUCCACUAAUUAUUUCAAAUGGCUCCAAGGCCUAGUUAUAUAUAUAUUUCUACAAUUAUCGAUACAUGCAAUUUUUGUUUGUCCACUUAAAAACGAGCAUUUGCUUAUCUUUAUUUGAGCAUAAGAAAAAAGACGUAGAAAAGAAAUUCAAAAUUCUCAUUUACAUAUCGUUAAUUAUUGCUAUAAAUAGAAAAAUUACAUGAAAUUUGUUAACGGGUGGUGAAGCAGAUGUCUUUAACAGCUUCAAGGAUAGCAAUGGGAACUUCAAGUCUUUCCUUAAAAGAGAUAUUCGGGGAAUGUUAAGCCUGUAUGAAGCGGCACAUCUCAGGGUACAUGGAGAAAAUAUACUCAACGAAGCACUUACUUUCACUGUCACUCACCUUGAGUCAUUUACAAGCCAAUCCAACACUCAACUUGCGGCUCAAGUCAAUCGUGCCCUCAAUCGACCUAUUCGCAAAAGCUUACCAAGGCUAGAGGCAAAACACUACAUGCCAAUCUAUCAGAAAGACCCUUCACACAACAAAGAUCUAUUAACCUUUGCCAUGUUAGAUUUCAACAUACUUCAGAAACAACACCAAGAAGAACUCAGAGAUAUCGUAAGGUUUGAACAAUUUUAGGGCUCAUAUGUUAAUGUUUUUGGCUUAAUUUCUCUAAAUAAUAUUUUUUUUUAAUAUAUUAGGUGGUGGAAAAAUUUUGAUGUUCCCAAUAAGCUACCUUUCAUAAGAGACAGAGUGGUGGAGGGCUAUUUCUGGAUUUUGGGAGUAUAUUUUGAGCCAAAAUUUUUAUUGGCUAGAAAAAUUCUAACCAAAGUGAUAUCAAUGGCUUCAAUUAUUGAUGACAUUUAUGAUGCUUAUGGUACAAUAGAAGAACUUGAGCUUUUUGCCACAGCAAUUGAGAGGUCUGAAUGUUCAAUUUUUUGCAUUUGUAUAUUUCUUACCAAGAUUAAACUUUUUUAAACUUGUGAUAAUCCUUGAUUAAUAUCUAAUAUGAAAUGCUAUUGUUUAUAAUUUUGUUUUCCAGGUGGGAUCUCAGUGCCAUAGAUCUGCUUCCUGAGUACAUAAAGUUGUGCUAUUGCGCUCUCCUGGAUGCUUACAGCGAAUUUGAGAAAGAUUUGGCCAGCAAAGGAAUAUUGUACGGCCUACCUUUUGCUAAAGAAUCGGUCAGUUCAUUUCAAUUAUUGUGAAAGCUGUGUAGCAAAUAUAAUUCUCCUCCCUCACUUUAGCAAGUGUUGCGCAGGAUAAAUCUUCCUUUCCUAUUUUAUCCUUUCUAUUUUUAUUUUUUAAUAAUUUCUUAGAUGAAGAUUUUGGUGAGAAGUUACAUCAUCGAAGCUAGAUGGUGUGACCAACAAUAUGUACCGACAAUGGAGGAAUACAUGCGCGUUGCACUACUUUCAUGUGGCUACUUACUGUUAUCAACAUCUUCAUUUCUGGGAAUGGAAGAUAUUGUAACAAAAGAAGCCUUUGAAUGGGUAUCCGGCAACCCUAAAAUCGUUCAGGCUUCCUCAAUAAUUUGCAGACUCAUGGAUGACAUUGUCUCUCAUAAGGUAGCAUGAACUAAAUCAUUUAUUAUUUAAAAUUAUUAUUCUAUUUUUAGAUGGCCAACAUAUAUGUGAAUGUUAUGCAGUUUGAGCAACAGAGAGGACAUGUGGCCUCAGCUGUUGAAUGCUACAUGAAGCAGCAUGG
rnacentral:lncRNA from 1 species